CCGGGGCUGUGGCCGUCCCGGCUGAACAUGAAGUAGCUAAACUGGAGGCAGUGGGUGUCAUUCUCGCUCAGCGCCUGGAAGAGCAGCACAGGACUUGCCCUUCAGGAGCAGGCAGGAGCCAGCAGUCCCCAAAACAAGGAGCAUCCCAAGUCCAGUGAACCUCACUGAGCAGAUGGGUCCAGAAACAACUCAAGGGGGUCACAGCAAGACAGAGUUCAGAGCAGGGAGCGAGCAAAGCCCCCAGAUGCACCCAGGCAUGGUGCCCACACCAUCCUCAUGGAGAGCAGAGCUCCUCACAGCUGCCUGGCUGGGUCUGCUCCCCCAGCCUGGCCACCAGAGAGGACAUGGACCCAGAAAAUAACAAAAAAUGGUUUAAAACCAAUGAGA